UAAGCUAAUCACUCUCAUGUUUAUGAGGCC
rnacentral:piRNA from 1 species